UGCCUAGGGAGUGGAGCAGAGGCCAUGGGGUGGGGGAAGUUCCAGCAUCCUCCCAGAGUUACUGUCUCAUCUGUAUGCCCAAAUUAGCCCUUCCUGCCCUUGUAUGGCGAUUCACAGGCAGGAUCUGGUGGUGGCGCCUGCUGUUGGUCUGGGUGCAGUUUCCCCACAAGUUAAUCAGGCUUCAGAGAAAAACCAAUGGCAGUAAAAAACAACCUUCAAAGGCAGAUACUGCGUCCCUAUCUACAAACGCCUGGUCAUCUCCACUGCCAUGUCACUCUGGAGAGCUGAAGACCAGAGGCUUAAAAUAAAAUAUCUUCUCCCUGAACCAGCUUCCCUCCCCAGCCACUUCCUCCUGUCACGCCAAGGCCAUUGUCUUUGCUCCAACCUUUGGCUGCUGCCUCCCUCAAUUCCCUGAGUCCUCUGAGUCUCAGUGUCACUGGAGUCCUUACUUAGCCACUGUUGCUCUUUUCUCAGGACUGUCAUUGCCUCCCUGCACGAAGCGCUCACCCCCUCAGCCUUGAUGUCCACCUCAGCAUGGAUUCUGCAGCCCCGAUUUCUCAGCUCUUGACUCUUGCAAUCCUGCCUUUCAGGAUCGAUCCUCUACUCAACAAUGGUUGUCUAGAUUGGUUCCUGGUUGGGCCUUCAAAUCUGGAAGCAUGCUAGCCCAUGAGUCACACACAGCUUUGUUCUCCUGCAUCCCUUUGUUGUUAGCUCUUGGUCCCUGAAGGCUGCCUGCUGACCAGUGCCACCAUACCCACAUGGGUGCCCUCUUGUGUAUGGUGCCCUCUCCCUGGUGUGUCUGCCUUUGUCUUCAGCUACUGCAGGAUCCCCUUCUCCAGAAACUCCCCCCAACAAUGGUUCUCUCUGAAGCAAGAUCAAAGUUGCUAUCUGCACUUCCCAUUCUAGCUCGUGACACAACCCAACUGGUGGUAUAUAUCAUUGUUGCACAGUGACCUUGAGAGGGCAUUUGCAAGCAUAUGGCACCAGCAGAGUGUGCACUGUGCACAAUCACAACUUCCCCUUACAGCCUGGACUCUGGUGCAGAACAUGGGAGGCUUCAGCCAGGAGGUAACCAGGUCAUACUGAAGUAGAUGGGACCUCCUAUCCAAAAGAACUGGGAUCUUUGUCAGAAGAUGUACAUGUUGUUCAUCUCCCUCACCGCUGUGACAAGAAGCAACUUGAGGAGGAAUGGCUACGCUAGCCUCGAAGUUCAACGGGAUCCAAUCCUUUGUGAGGAGGAAGCAGAGUGUGAGCAGGAGGAGUGUCAGGGCUUUGAAAUCUCAAGGCCCGCCCCCAUAACUCACUUCCUCCGGCAAGGCUCCGCCUCCUAAGGUUCCAGAAACUUCCAGAACAGACAACACCUCCAGUGGGCAAUGGUUGGUCAAGCACACGAGCCGAUGAGGGACGUUCCACAUUCAAACAACCACAAAAUGGCCAUGUGAAGACAGACACCCAGAAAGGAAGCCAGAUGACUGUGAGGGCAGAGACCAGAGUGAUGCUGCAGCUAGCCAAGGGAGGUCAAAGGUCGUCAGGAAACUUCCAAUAGAAGGAAAGACAAGGAAGGGUUCAUUCUACAGGGUUCAGAGGGAGCCUGCCAACACCUUGAUUUCAGACUUCCGGCUUCUAGACCCAGACUGUUUCAGUCAGUCCUCUGAUAGCAUGGCUGUGGGAAUUGUGAACUACUCACAGAGACAUUCCAGGCAGUCAAUGAAAAUAUUUUAAAUUUCUUUUUUCUUCUUGUCAUUUUCAACAUUGUCAUUGUGA